GAAUAUCGUCAGAGGAAGAGCCGGCGAAAACCGUGCCGACAAGCUCGCAAGCCGUCGGCAUUUGUCGCAAGGUUAACU
rnacentral:sRNA from 1 species